AAACUAAACUUUUGGUGCAAAUUAUUUGGUCGGCAACACCGUUUCCACUUUGACGCUUUGCUUUGUUAUUAUUCGUUGAAAAUCUUUUAUCUGUUUGUAAACAUUCAAGUCGAUUAUGUCUUACAUAUGGUGAUAGUCGAUUAUUUGGAGUCGGCUUUCUGCUGCAGAAAACCACCGGUUUGUGAAUUUUCAUACAUGUUUUUAUAGCAGCGUUUUUGCAAAUAUAACAGAGACCACCUUACAUACAAUACAUAAACUACAGUUAGACUUCACAGACGAGCAAUUGCUGCGGAAGGUGUGUGUUGAAGAGCUAGGUGGCCCAACUAUUGUGGUUUUUAGAAACGAAAGCACGUAU